rnacentral:ncRNA from 1 species
CUAACAGCUAAGAAAGAGUUAAGUAGGUUAAAGAUCACUUUUAAGAGAGGAGAUGUCACCGGCUGAAAACAUCUCUAAAAAUCUUUGAUUGAAAUUUCACUCUGGAGCUAUAUGACUGAAAUUAAGUAAGUUAUAUCGGCAUCAAAAUGUCGUUAACCAAAACUAGUGAAUUAUAAAUUUAUUAUAUAUUUAUAAUUAAUUUAGGGUGGUAUCACGGAACUGGACCUAUCUUGUUUCGUCCUAUUU